UACGGAGGGUGCAAGCGUUAAUCGGAAUUACUGGGCGUAAAGCGCACGUAGGUGGUUUUGUAAGUCAGAUGUGAAAGCCCCGGGCUUAACCUGGGAAUUGCAUCUGAUACUGCAUGACUAGAGUAUGUUAGAGGGAAGUGGAAUUCCGGGUGUAGCGGUGAAAUGCGUAGAUAUCCGGAGGAACACCAAUGGCGAAGGCAACUUCCUGGGACAAUACUGACACUGAGGUGCGAAAGCGUGGGGAGCAAACAGG
rnacentral:rRNA from 1 species